rnacentral:rRNA from 1 species
GACCGGCAAACGGGUGCGGAACACGUACACAACUUACCUUCUGGUGGGGGAUAGCCUUUGGAAACGGAGAUUAAUACCCCAUAUUAUAUAUGAGCUGCAUGGUUUGUAUAUUAAAGAUUUAUUGCCGGAAGAUGGGUGUGCGUAUGAUUAGGUAGUUGGCGGGGUAACGGCCCACCAAGCCGACGAUCAUUAACUGGUGUGAGAGCACGACCAGUCACACGGGCACUGAGACACGGGCCCGACUCCUACGGGAGGCAGCAGUAAGGAAUAUUGGUCAAUGGACGGAAGUCUGAACCAGCCAUGCCGCGUGGAGGAUGAAGGUCCUCUGGAUUGUAAACUUCUUUUAUAGGGGGCGAAAAAAGGGAAUUCUUUCUCGU